rnacentral:rRNA from 1 species
GGGUUGUGAGGUUAAGCGACUAAGCGUACACGGUGGAUGCCCUGGCAGUCAGAGGCGAUGAAGGACGUGCUAAUCUGCGAAAAGCGUCGGUAAGGUGAUAUGAACCGUUACAGCCGGCGAUGUCCGAAUGGGGAAACCCAGUGCAAUUCGUUGCACUAUCGUUAACUGAAUACAUAGGUUAACGAGGCGAACCGGGGGAACUGAAACAUCUAAGUACCCCGAGGAAAAGAAAUCAACCGAGAUUCCCCCAGUAGCGGCGAGCGAACGGGGAGCAGCCCAGAGUCUGAAUCAGCUUGUGUGUUAGUGGAACGGUCUGGAAAGUCCGACGGUACAGGGUGAUAGUCCCGUACACCAAAAUGCACAGGCUGUGAACUCGAAGAGUAGGGCGGGACACGUGGUAUCCUGUCUGAAUAUGGGGGGACCAUCCUCCAAGGCUAAAUACUCCUGACUGACCGAUAGUGAACCAGUACCGUGAGGGAAAGGCGAAAAGAACCCCGGCGAGGGGAGUGAAAAAGAACCUGAAACCGUGUACGUACAAGCAGUGGGAGCACCUUCGGGUGUGACUGCGUACCUUUUGUAUAAUGGGUCAGCGACUUAUAUUCUGUAGCAAGGUUAACCGUAUAGGGGAGCCGCAGGGAAACCGAGUCUUAACUGGGCGUUAAGUUGCAGGGUAUAGACCCGAAACCCGGUGAUCUAGCCAUGGGCAGGUUGAAGGUUGGGUAACACUAACUGGAGGACCGAACCGACUAAUGUUGAAAAAUUAGCGGAUGACUUGUGGCUGGGGGUGAAAGGCCAAUCAAACCGGGAGAUAGCUGGUUCUCCCCGAAAGCUAUUUAGGUAGCGCCUCGUGAACUCAUCUUCGGGGGUAGAGCACUGUUUCGGCUAGGGGGUCAUCCCGACUUACCAACCCGAUGCAAACUACGAAUACCGAAGAAUGUUAUCACGGGAGACACACGGCGGGUGCUAACGUCCGUCGUGAAGAGGGAAACAACCCAGACCGCCAGCUAAGGUCCCAAAGUCAUGGUUAAGUGGGAAACGAUGUGGGAAGGCACAGACAGCCAGGAUGUUGGCUUAGAAGCAGCCAUCAUUUAAAGAAAGCGUAAUAGCUCACUGGUCGAGUCGGCCUGCGCGGAAGAUGUAACGGGGCUAAACCAUGCACCGAAGCUGCGGCAGCGACACUAUGUGUUGUUGGGUAGGGGAGCGUUCUGUAAGCCUGCGAAGGUGGCCUGUGAGGGCUGCUGGAGGUAUCAGAAGUGCGAAUGCUGACAUAAGUAACGAUAAAGCGGGUGAAAAGCCCGCUCGCCGGAAGACCAAGGGUUCCUGUCCAACGUUAAUCGGGGCAGGGUGAGUCGACCCCUAAGGCGAGGCCGAAAGGCGUAGUCGAUGGGAAACAGGUUAAUAUUCCUGUACUUGGUGUUACUGCGAAGGGGGGACGGAGAAGGCUAUGUUAGCCGGGCGACGGUUGUCCCGGUUUAAGCAUGUAGGCGGAGGUUCCAGGUAAAUCCGGUACCUUUUAACGCUGAGGUGUGAUGACGAGGCACUACGGUGCUGAAGUAACAAAUGCCCUGCUUCCAGGAAAAGCCUCUAAGCAUCAGGUAACAUUAAAUCGUACCCCAAACCGACACAGGUGGUCAGGUAGAGAAUACCAAGGCGCUUGAGAGAACUCGGGUGAAGGAACUAGGCAAAAUGGUGCCGUAACUUCGGGAGAAGGCACGCUGGUGUGUAGGUGAAGUCCCUGCGGAUGGAGCUGAGACCAGUCGAAGAUACCAGCUGGCUGCAACUGUUUAUUAAAAACACAGCACUGUGCAAACACGAAAGUGGACGUAUACGGUGUGACGCCUGCCCGGUGCCGGAAGGUUAAUUGAUGGGGUUAUCCGUAAGGAGAAGCUCUUGAUCGAAGCCCCGGUAAACGGCGGCCGUAACUAUAACGGUCCUAAGGUAGCGAAAUUCCUUGUCGGGUAAGUUCCGACCUGCACGAAUGGCGUAAUGAUGGCCAGGCUGUCUCCACCCGAGACUCAGUGAAAUUGAACUCGCUGUGAAGAUGCAGUGUACCCGCGGCAAGACGGAAAGACCCCGUGAACCUUUACUAUAGCUUGACACUGAACAUUGAGCCUUGAUGUGUAGGAUAGGUGGGAGGCUUUGAAGCGUGGACGCCAGUCUGCGUGGAGCCAACCUUGAA